rnacentral:rRNA from 1 species
AUACGUAGGUGACAAGCGUUAUCCGGAUUUACUGGGCGUAAAGGGCGUGUAGGCGGUCUUGCAAGUCAGAAGUGAAAUUCCUGAGCUCAACUCGGGCGCUGCUUCUGAAACUGCAGGACUUGAGUGCUGGAGGGGAUAGCGGAAUUCCUAGUGGAGCGGUAAAAUGCGCAGAUAUUAGGAAGAACACCGGUGGCGAAGGCGGCUUGCUGGGCUUUUACUGACGCUGAGGCGCGAAAGCGUGGGGAGCAAACAGGAUUAGAUACCCUGGUAGUCCACGCUGUAAACGAUGAUUACUAGGUGUGGGGGGACUGACCCCUUCCGUGCCGCAGUUAACACAAUAAGUAAUCCACCUGGGGAGUACGGCCGCAAGGUUGAAACUCAAAUGAAUUGACGGGG